rnacentral:rRNA from 1 species
CUUGCACAGGUGCUGCAUGGCUGUCGUCAGCCCGUGUCGUGAGAUGUUCGGUUAAGUCCGCUAACGAGCGCAACCCUCGUCGUGUGUUGUACGUGUCACACGAUACUGCCGGUAUCAAGCCGGAGGGAGGUGGGGAUGAUGUCAAGUCAGCAUGGCCUUUAUAUCCUGGGCUACACACACGCUACAAUGGCAGAUACAAUAGGUUGCGAAACCGCGAGGUGGAGCCAAUCCUCAAAGUCUGUCUCAGUUCAGAUUGUAGGCUGCAACCCGCCUGCAUGAAGAUGGAGUUGCUAGUAACCGCAGGUCAGCUAUACUGCGGUGAAUACGUUCCCGGGGCUU